AAUAGAUACCCUGGUAGUCCACGCCGUAAACGAUGAGUGCUAAGUGUUAGAGGGUUUCCGCCCUUUAGUGCUGCAGCAAACGCAUUAAGCACUCCGCCUGGGGAGUACGGUCGCAAGACUGAAACUCAAAGGAAUUGACGGGGGCCCGCACAAGCGGUGGAGCAUGUGGUUUAAUUCGAAGCAACGCGAAGAACCUUACCAGGUCUUGACAUCCUCUGGCAACCCUAGAGAUAGGGCUUCCCCUUCGGGGGCAGAGCGACAGGUGGUGCAUGGUUGUCGUCAGCUCGUGUCGUGAGAUGUUGGGUUAAGUCCCGCAACGAGCGCAACCCUUGAUCUUAGUUGCCAGCAUUCAGUUGGGCACUCUAAGGUGACUGCCGGUGACAAACCGGAGGAAGGUGGGGAUGACGUCAAAUCAUCAUGCCCCUUAUGACCUGGGCUACACACGUGCUACAAUGGGCAGAACAAAGGGCAGCGAAGCCGCGAGGCUAAGCCAAUCCCACAAAUCUGUUCUCAGUUCGGAUCG
rnacentral:rRNA from 1 species